GAUGAACGCUGGCGGCGUGCCUAAUACAUGCAAGUCGAGCGAACGGACGAGAAGCUUGCUUCUCUGAUGUUAGCGGCGGACGGGUGAGUAACACGUGGAUAACCUACUUAUAAGACUGGGAUAAUUUCGGGAAACCGGAGCUAAUACUGGAUAAUAUUUUGAACCGCAUGGUUCAAAAGAGAAAGACGGCCUUGCUGUCACUUAUAGAUGGAUCCGCGCUGCAUUAGCUAGUUGGUAAGGUAACGGCUUACCAAGGCAACGAUGCAUAGCCGACCUGAGAGGAUGAUCGGCCACACUGGAACUGAGACACGGUCCAGACUCCUACGGGAGGCAGCAGUAGGGAAUCUUCCGCAAUGGGCGAAAGCCUGACGCAGCAACGCCGCGUGAGUGAUGAAGGUCUUCGGAUCGUAAAACUCUGUUAUUGGGGAAGAACAUAUGUGUAAUUAACUGUGCACAUCUUGACGGUACCUAAUCAAAAAGCCACGGCUAACUACGUG
rnacentral:rRNA from 1 species